AGUGAACGCUGGCGGUAGGCCUAACACAUGCAAGUCGAACGGCAGCACAGUAAGAGCUUGCUCUUACGGGUGGCGAGUGGCGGACGGGUGAGGAAUACAUCGGAAUCUACUUUUUCGUGGGGGAUAACGUAGGGAAACUUACGCUAAUACCGCAUACGACCUACGGGUGAAAGCAGGGGAUCUUCGGACCUUGCGCGAUUGAAUGAGCCGAUGUCGGAUUAGCUAGUUGGCGGGGUAAAGGCCCACCAAGGCGACGAUCCGUAGCUGGUCUGAGAGGAUGAUCAGCCACACUGGAACUGAGACACGGUCCAGACUCCUACGGGAGGCAGCAGUGGCGAAUAUUGGACAAUGGGCGCAAGCCUGAUCCAGCCAUACCGCGUGGGUGAAGAAGGCCUUCGGGUUGUAAAGCCCUUUUGUUGGGAAAGAAAAGCAGCAGGUUAAUACCCCGCUGUUCUGACGGUACCCAAAGAAUAAGCACCAGCUAACUUCGUG
rnacentral:rRNA from 1 species